rnacentral:rRNA from 1 species
UACAGAGGUGGCAAGCGUUGUUCGGAAUUACUGGGCGUAAAGGGCUCGUAGGUGGCCAACUAAGUCAGACGUGAAAUCCCUCGGCUUAAACCGGGGAACUGCGUCUGAUACUGGAUGGCUAGAGAUUGGGAGAGGGAUGCAGAAUUCCAGGUGUAGCGGUGAAAUGCGUAGAUAUCUGGAAGGAACACCGGUGGCGAAGGCGGCCCACUGGUCCGGUACUGGACGCUGAGGUGCGAAAGCGUUGGGGAG